rnacentral:rRNA from 1 species
GAUGAACGCUGGCGGCGUGCCUAAUACAUGCAAGUCGAGCGAACAGACGAGGAGCUUGCUCCUCUGACGUUAGCGGCGGACGGGUGAGUAACACGUGGAUAACCUACCUAUAAGACUGGGAUAACUUCGGGAAACCGGAGCUAAUACCGGAUAAUAUAUUGAACCGCAUGGUUCAAUAGUGAAAGACGGUUUUGCUGUCACUUAUAGAUGGAUCCGCGCCGCAUUAGCUAGUUGGUAAGGUAACGGCUUACCAAGGCAACGAUGCGUAGCCGACCUGAGAGGAUGAUCGGCCACACUGGAACUGAGACACGGUCCAGACUCCUACGGGAGGCAGCAGUAGGGAAUCUUCCGCAAUGGGCGAAAGCCUGACGGAGCAACGCCGCGUGAGUGAUGAAGGUCUUCGGAUCGUAAACCUCUGUUAUUAGGGAAGAACAAAUUUGUAAGUAACUAUGCACGUCUUGACGGUACCUAAUCAGAAAGCCACGGCUAACUACGUG